AAAUUACCCGAGACCGGACAUCGCUAUUAUUAUACCGACCCGUAUCUGAGGUACACGUGAAACUUUUAGACCCCGAACCCGCUCGGGUCUCGGGUCGGACCUCGGGUUUUCGGAUCUAAGUGGACCAGUGAAGACCUGUAGUUUACACUCCUCGUAGUCGUGUGGGGUGCACUUGCUGCCCUGAGCACUAAUCUUACCCUGGGUUACUGUAGCUGCUGAAAGUCAGACGUUUCCCGAGUCCAACGUUAAUCUGUGAAAUAAAUCCGAAGCCAUAAGCUUCCGUGCUUUUCGGGAGGCAGAUACACACACGACUAUUAGAAUAUUUACCCUCUCACUGCCCACGUUCUUCCAUUAAGCAAUCGAGACGAGCGAUAUUACCGGAAUGAAGCGAAGAGACACAGUGAUAUUCCUCUUACAGAACAAUAAAAUAAAUAAAUAAAUAAACCGUUAAUAACAAUCCCCGACAGAAACGAUGCUAAUAAACCUGCCAAUUGUAAUUUAGUGAUAUUAAAAAAUAAUAAUAAUAAUGAAAUGACUGUGGAAAUGUUUUGUGGGAAUUUUUUUUUUUUUUUUUUAAAUUCGGUUUAUUUUUUUUCCCCUUUUAUUUAUUUAUAUAUUUAAAAAAAAAAAUUAAUUCUUUAUUUCCUAAUUCUCAUGAUGUAAGAAGCAAUUUCAUCCAGUCAGGAUAACACUGUAUAAAAUGUUACACUAGACCUUUUUUUUGUUUGUUUGUUUGUUUGUUUACAUUUUUCCCUUCCUUUCUUAAUUUAAAAGCAAUGUAGCCAGCAGGAUUUUUUUAUUUUAUUUUAUUUUUUCUCCAGAAUCGUGUUGCAUGGGUUUCUUGUAAAGAAGACAACGAUCUUUUUUUUUUUUUUAUUCAAAAAGUUGUAAGGUAAAUAAUGUAUUUAGCAUGAAGCAUGAAUUAUUUUCAUAUAAAUAUAGAUCCUAGAGAACAAAAAGGCAUUGCCUCUAAUCUAAUUUCUAUGCCCAUAGGCCUACAGUCACUUUUCCUUUUUUUUUUAAUUUUUUUUUUUUGUGUGUUUUUUUUUUUUUUGUCUUGAUUUGUCCUCAUCAUAAAAGCAGGCAUUUUACAGAAUAACCUUCUUCAGGGACAACGCUGACUGUUGGGCAACACUCUGUGCAAUAUGGGGACUUCACCUUCUUUCCGAGUGUAGGGCUGUUGUCAGCCCCCCUCUCCGCUCUCUCCAUCAGAUCAGCACCGGUGUGUGUGUGUGUGUGUGUGUGUGUGUGUGUGUGUGUGUGUGUGUGUGUGUGUGUGUGUCUGCGUGUGUGUAAGGACAAGUUGGUAGUGAGUGUCUGUUCCUUUUCUUCCAUUUUUUUUUGGGGGGGGGGUCUUCCAUUUACACAGCACAGGUAACACACACGCUCACACACCUUUCCCUGUACGUAGCACUGUUCAGUAUUAGAUAUCUGCACACACACAUACACACGCGCACACACACACACACACACACAUCCCAGAGCAUGUUCUACGUUACUGCAUAUCGUAUUCAAUUCCAUCAGAUUGCACUUUUAUAGAUUGAAGGUGACGCACUUAGCUUUUAAUACGAGUCUGAUUUUAGUGCCAAAGCCGGUAUGUUUAUACACAGCACGGUGUCCAAGACACACACACACACACACACACACACACACACACACACACGUUUUGAUAAUACUACUUGUAGCAUUUAUGUCAUGUAUAAUAUAAUAUGACACUGUACACAUAUCCGUCUCGCUCUCAGCUUACACAUUACUGGCUGUAAAUUGCUCAUGGAGGUGUUUUUAUAUCGUCCACAUACAUCAUCUACUCUUCAUCCUCAUCCUCAUCCUCAUCCCAGUGAAUCUGAAUGUUUCUGAUGUUGAUCUUGAUCAUUUGUGACGUGUCCUGUUAGCAUGCCUGUUCUGAUACUGCACGUGAACGGACUUCAUCUGUGCAUCGUCGUCGUCACCAUCAUCAUCGUCGUCAUCAUCAUCAUCGCUUUGGAGAUCUGAAUUCUCCAUCCUCACACUGCGGAUUUAAAAAAAAAAAAUGGAGGAAAACCAGCAUUUGAAAAGGCUGUGAGAGGAUGAAGAGGCGAGUGGAGGCGCAUCAGAAAUCUCAACCCAAGCCAGUCAAAUAACAGUCAAUAACACAGUCUUCUCCUUGUGUUUCCUUGUGUUUGGUCAUUAUUAUUAUUAUUAUUAUUAUUAUUAUUAUUAUUUUUAUUUUUAUUAUUAUUAUUAAAAGGUUCAUGUUGUUAGUUGCCAUUAAAAAAAGGUUUUGCGAUGUCCCCCCAUCCCCCCCCCCCCCCCCCGCAGUGAGUAGAACAGAGUCUUAUUUCGUCCGUUCUGAAUUUUCGAGGUCUGAUGGCAUGUGCACCCCGAUAAAGUGUCGAUACGGAGGCGUUCUUGCACUCUGUAUUUCCUCGUUGUGUAAUCAUAUUGCCAAAGACAAUUUCAUCACUAUGUAAAUAUCACUUUGUCCAUUACUAUGAAAAAAAAAGGUUCCUUUUUAUUUUUUAUUUUAUUUUGCGUUCGUUCCUUAUUCCGAUCUGCCAUCACGUUUCUGUGCUGUAUUGUCUUCCAGUUGCAAUAAAGAAAAGAAAAAAAGA